GGUGAACGCUGGCGGCAGGCCUAACACAUGCAAGUCGAACGGCAGCACAAGAGAGCUUGCUCUCUGGGUGGCGAGUGGCGGACGGGUGAGGAAUGCAUCGGAAUCUGCCCAUUUGUGGGGGAUAACCUCGGGAAACCGGGACUAAUACCGCAUACGACCUACGGGUGAAAGCAGGGGAUCUUCGGACCUUGCGCAGAUGGAUGAGCCGAUGCCGGAUUAGCUAGUUGGAGGGGUAAAGGCCCACCAAGGCGACGAUCCGUAGCUGGUCUGAGAGGAUGAUCAGCCACACUGGGACUGAGACACGGCCCAGACUCCUACGGGAGGCAGCAGUGGGGAAUAUUGGACAAUGGGCGCAAGCCUGAUCCAGCCAUGCCGCGUGUGUGAAGAAGGCCUUCGGGUUGUAAAGCACUUUUGUUGGGAAAGAAAAGCAGCCGGUUAAUACCCGGUUGUCAUGACGGUACCCAAAGAAUAAGCACCGGCUAACUUCGUG
rnacentral:rRNA from 1 species